GUGGGGAAUAUUGGACAAUGGGGGGAACCCUGAUCCAGCCAUGCCGCGUGUGUGAAGAAGGUCUUCGGAUUGUAAAGCACUUUAAGUUGGGAGGAAGGGCAGUAAGUUAAUACCUUGCUGUUUUGACGUUACCGACAGAAUAAGCACCGGCUAACUUCGUGCCAGCAGCCGCGGUAAUACGAAGGGUGCAAGCGUUAAUCGGAAUUACUGGGCGUAAAGCGCGCGUAGGUGGUUUUGUAAGUUGGAGGUGAAAUCCCCGGGCUCAACCUGGGAACUGCCUCCAAAACUGCAUGACUAGAGUACGGUAGAGGGUAGUGGAAUUUCCUGUGUAGCGGUGAAAUGCGUAGAUAUAGGAAGGAACACCAGUGGCGAAGGCGACUACCUGGACUGAUACUGACACUGAGGUGCGAAAGCGUGGGGAGCAAACAGGAUUAGAAACCCGAGUAGUCC
rnacentral:rRNA from 1 species